rnacentral:rRNA from 1 species
AUUGAACGCUGGCGGCAUGCCUUACACAUGCAAGUCGAACGGUAACAGGUCUUCGGAUGCUGACGAGUGGCGAACGGGUGAGUAAUACAUCGGAACGUGCCUAGUAGUGGGGGAUAACUACUCGAAAGAGUGGCUAAUACCGCAUGAGAUCUACGGAUGAAAGCAGGGGAUCGCAAGACCUUGUGCAACAAGAGCGGCGGAUGGCAGAUUAGGUAGUUGGUGGGAUAAAAGCUUACCAAGCCGACGAUCUGUAGCUGGUCUGAGAGGACGAUCAGACACACUGGGACUGAGACACGGCCCAGACUCCUACGGGAGGCAGCAGUGGGGAAUUUUGGACAAUGGGCGCAAGCCUGAUCCAGCAAUGCCGCGUGCAGGAUGAAGGCCUUCGGGUUGUAAACUGCUUUUGUACGGAACGAAAAGCCCUGGGUUAAUACCCUGGGGUCAUGACGGUACCGUAAGAAUAAGCACCGGCUAACUACGUGCCAGCCGCCGCCGUAAGAC